CGGAGCGUGGCGCAGUUUGGUAGCGCACCUGCUUUGGGAGCAGGGGGUCGCUGGUUCGAGUCCAGUCGCUCCGACCA
rnacentral:tRNA from 1 species